CACUGUCUCUCUGUCCUCUGCCAUUCUGGGACCAGUCCAGUCCAGGCCUGCCCACAGUGCGCACUUCUGAGCAUCGUCAAUGCGAAUGAACCCUCACACCAGCAGGAAGGACUCUCUCCUCCAUUUCAUGCCAACGCACUUCAAAGACUUAGAGAAGAAUGGAUCAUGAUGGGAUGGGGGGCAGGGGAGUGGAGAAUGGGCGUCGGCGGUACGAGGAGGAAGAAGAGCACCACUCCGUCUACAUCGGCGUUCCCGUGCCGCGCAGUUACCGGCGCAAGCGGCGUCGCCGUCGGUCAGACUCCAGCCGUGAGACGGGAGACGGCGACCGGGAGAGACGCCAUGAGUCCCACAGACACCAGCACCAGGACAGAGACGACAGGAGGCGCUUCGACAUGGACGAUGGGGGCCUGGACCCACAAGAUCAGAGCCCUCCUCCGGACCCCAACUCCACCAUGUCUCCAGCGGCAGAGAGACUACGCUACAUCUUGAACGAUGAAGACGAUGUGCCCACCCCCACCAUCUUCACCGAGAUGGACACACUUCAGCAUGAGGGUGACGAGCUGGAGUGGAAGGAGUCAGCCAGGUGGGUGAAAUUUGAGGAGAAGGUGGAGGAGGGUGGGGAGAGGUGGAGUAAGCCGCACGUCUCCACCCUGUCCCUGCACAGCCUGUUUGAGCUGCGCACUUGUCUGCAGACUGGCACCAUCAUGCUGGACCUGGAGGGGUACUCCCUGCCCCAGAUAGUGGAGGAGAUUGUGGAGAAGCAGGUGGAGGACGGGCUCAUUGGACCCGAGCUGAGGGACAAGAUUGUCUAUGUCCUUCUGAGGAAACACAGACACCAGACCAAGAAACCUAUUCACCGCUCUCUGGCUGACAUUGGGAAGGCCUCCUCCUCCAGCCGAAGCCCUGCCCGCAGCCCCACCGCAGGGGCGGGGUUCCAUCGCUCCACAGAAGAUCUGCGCAUGAAGCAGGCGGGCAGCUAUGGCCGUCUGCAUCAUGCCCAGAGUCGGAGCAUGAAUGAUAUUUCAGAUACACCCAGCACAGACCAGCUGAAGAAUAAAUUCAUGAAGAAGAUUCCUCGCGACGCCGAAGCUUCCAAUGUGCUGGUGGGGGAGGUGGACUUCCUGGAAAAGCCCUUUGUGGCAUUUGUCCGUUUAUCCCAGGCCACCACCCUGGGGGGGCUGACCGAGGUCCCCGUGCCAACCAGGUUCCUCUUUGUGUUACUGGGGCCACAGGGCAAAGGGAAGUCGUACAAUGAGAUUGGCCGUGCCAUUGCCACUCUGAUGGUGGAUGACCUCUUCAGUGAUGUGGCUUAUAAGGCUCGGGACCGAGAGGACCUCAUUGCCGGUAUUGAUGAGUUCCUAGAUGAGGUGAUUGUGCUGCCACCAGGAGAGUGGGAUCCCAAAAUCCGCAUUGAGCCCCCCAAAAAAGUGCCCUCGGCAGACAUGAGGAAGUCAGUCUUCUCCCUAAACGAGUUGGGACAGAUGAACGGGACGGCAGGAGGGGGAGGAGGUGCUGCUGAGGAUGAGGAGAUGCCCGCACCCCACGAACUGGGAGAGGAGCUGGCGUUCACUGGGAGGUUCUGUGGCGGCCUGAUAUUGGACAUUAAGCGGAAGCUGCCCUGGUUCCCCAGAGACUUCUAUGAUGGCUUCCACAUCCAGUCCAUCUCCGCCGUGCUCUUCAUUUACCUGGGCUGCAUCACCAACGCCAUCACCUUCGGGGGGCUGCUGGGAGACGCCACUGACAACUACCAGGGUGUGAUGGAGAGUUUCCUGGGUACGGCUCUGGCUGGUACGAUCUUCUGUUUGUUUGGCGGCCAGCCCCUCAUCAUCCUCAGCUCCACUGGGCCCAUCCUGAUCUUCGAGAAGCUGCUCUUUGAGUUCAGCAAGUCUAACAACAUAGACUACAUGGAGCUGCGACUGUGGAUAGGGCUCCACUCCUGCCUCCAAUGCUUUAUUCUGGUCGCCACGGAUGCCAGCUACAUCAUCAAAUAUAUGACACGCUUCACAGAGGAAGGCUUCUCCAGCCUCAUCUCCUUCAUCUUCAUCUCUGACGCCAUCAAGAAGAUGGUGGGUUCCUUCAAGUACUACCCCAUCAACAGGGAAUUCAAGCCGGACUACAUCACUACAUACAAGUGCGAGUGCCUGGCCCCUGAUCCAGUGGUUUCAAUGACUUUCAAUGUAUCGGCUCCAGUGGCAGUGGACAACAGCACUAACCUGUCUGUGUAUAAUGUGACAGCCCUGGACUGGAGCCAGCUCAGCAAGAAGGAGUGCCUGAAGUACGGGGGCACCCUGGUGGGGAAGUCCUGCAAGUACGUGCCUGACCUGGCCCUCAUGUCCUUCAUCCUCUUCUUCGGCACCUACUCUAUGACCGUCUCACUCAAGAAGUUCAAGUUCAGCCGAUACUUCCCCACCAAGUGGCGUACCCUGAUCAGUGACUUUUCCAUCAUUAUUUCCAUCCUGGUCUUCUGUGUGCUGGACUUUCUCCUGUGCCUGGACACCCCCAAACUGCAUGUUCCCACGGAGAUAAAGCUUCGGAAGCUCAUCAGUGAUUUCUCCAUAUUCAUGUCAAUCAUGACGUUUGUGGGGCUCGAUAUGUUAAUGGGCCUAAAAACUCCUAAACUCAUAGUGCCAACAGAGUUUAAGCCGACACGCCCUGACCGUGGCUGGGUGGUGCAGCCUUUUGGGAAGAACCCCUGGUGGAUAUACGUGGCCAGCUUCGUCCCGGCCCUCCUCGUCACCAUCCUCAUUUUCAUGGACCAGCAGAUUAGUGCUGUCAUCGUCAACCGCAAGGAGAACAAGCUGAAGAAAGGGUGUGGCUACCACCUGGACCUGCUCUGGGUGGGGGUCCUGAUGGUGGCCUGCUCCUUCAUGGGGCUGCCGUGGUACGUGGCAGCGACUGUCAUCUCAAUCGCCCACAUCGACUCCCUCAAGAUGGAGAGCGAGUCCAGCGCCCCGGGGGAGCAGCCACAGUUCCUGGGAGUGAGGGAGCAGAGGCUGACAGGAACCCUGGUGUUUGUAUUGACCGGAGUUUCCAUCUUCCUUGCUCCCAUACUCCAGUACAUCCCCAUGCCAGUGCUCUACGGUGUCUUCCUUUACAUGGGGGUGGCGUCUCUCAGUGGCAUUCAGUUCUGGGACCGAAUAAAGCUGUACCUGAUGCCAGCGAAGCACCAGCCAGAUUUCACCUACUUGCGGCACGUGCCUCUGCGGCGGGUGCACCUCUUCACCCUGGUGCAGAUCACCUGCCUGGCGGUGCUCUGGAUCCUCAAGUCCACCGUGGCAGCCAUCAUCUUCCCAGUCAUGAUCCUGGGCCUGAUGGUGGUACGGAAGAUGCUAGACCUGGUGUUCUCCCAGCACGACUUGGCCUGGCUGGACGAUAUUCUGCCCGAGAAGGACAAGAAGAAGAAGGAGGAUGAAAAGAAAAAGAAAGACAAGAAGAAAUCCAGAGGAGAGGAUGACAUUGAACCAGAGGAGAAAUACCACCCUUACUCUAACUGCUCGGGAGAUGAGUCUGACCUGGACCGUAGGUACUGUGUACUCAAACUGCACGUGCCCUACAGUGACCUGAUCAAGGCCCCCGAAUCCCACGCUGACUGGGGUGCACACUGCCAGCUCGACAACACCUACUCCUACUGACAUAUGUACAGAAACACUCAAACACACACACACACAACCAUGCACUAACACAGAUACGCACAGAACUAUGCUCUUACACGCACAUACAUGACCAUGCACUUUCUCACACACACACACACACACACACCCACGCACACAGACAUAUGUACUUUCACCCACACACAGACAUGUACACGCACACUCCUCUAGUAUUCCUAUGUAAUUCAGUGACUCCUUAAAGUAACAGAUUUCUAUUUGUUUCAAUUGCUAUGCACCUGAAAGCAAUGUAGACUUUAGUUCUGUGUUAAUUUCUUGUUUUGUGAAACUUUUAAAAACUUUUUAAAUUAUGUCUUGACAUAUAAACAGGCUAGAUACAUAAAAACAUUGUUAUAUCUGUGACUCUCUUACACCAGCUGGUGAAAUGUAAAAACAAAAGUAUUAGUUUAUGUUUUGUCUCUCUCGCUCUCUCUCUCUGUCGCUUGUCGAGAUUUUAUUUCCAAAAAAAAAAAACAAUUUUGCGAAACUAUUUGCUGCUGGGUUAUAUGUGAGAUUAUAAACAUUAGGGGCUUUUUAAUGCACAUGUGUAUAUUCACAAUCUCAAAGAAUCAUUGUGUCAGUUGUUUUAUAUACAUACACAAAUAAUAAAAGCCAUUUUACCCAUAUGUCACUGAUAUCUAUUACCAAGGUCAGACCCAGCACUGAUGAAAUCUAUUGAUAUAUACAUCCUGUUCACAUAUUCACUGUCCCAAAUGUCUGUGAAAAUGACAGUACAUACCGUAGUGAUAAACCACCAAAUCACUGGCCUUUUGAGAGAGCAGGAAGCUUCAGUCCAGUCUCUGUCGUGCUUUGCAUUUCAAGAUGGUAUUAUAUUAUUUUUUCUAUAACUACAACUCAUUGUCUGAAAAACACUGAAACGAACAAAAAAGUGAAAGAAUCAUCAAGGAAAAGUUUCCUUAAAUGUGAGCAAAUUAAAGAAAGAUGAAGGGGGAAAUGACAGGAGCAGUCAGAUUGAAUUGCCUCUCCUCUCCCUGCAGCGCAGCGUAGCGUUUAUCCACAGCACAGGAAUGAGCUGUGAGCAGGUGAUACGGCAGCACAUUGUGCCCCUUUCUGCCAUUUGUGCACAUGCUAAAAACAACAGUCACGCUUCUGGGAAUCAACCUUACGGUUACUGGAUUUCUGGUUGUUUCUUUUUUU